UAAUACCCCAUAGUUCGUUAUUACUGGAAUGUUUUUCGAACGAAAGAUCCGUCGCUUCAGGAUGAGUCUGCGGCCGAUUAGGUAGUUGUCGGGGUAAUUGCCCAACAAGCCUGUAAUCGGUACGGGUUGUGGGAGCAAGAGCCCGGAGAUGGAUUCUGAGACACGAAUCCAGGCCCUACGGGGCGCAGCUGGCGCGAAAACUUUACCAUGCGGGCAACCGUGAUAAGGAAACCCCGAGUGCCAGCACAGGCUGGCUGUCCGCCAGUUUAAACAACUGGCGAAGAAAGGGCCGGGCAAGACCGGUGCCAGCCGCCGCGGUAAUACCGGCGGCUCGAGUGGUGGCCGCUAUUACUGGGCUUAAAGGGUCCGUAGCUGGUUUGGUCAGUCCUCCGGGAAAUCUGAUAGCUUAACUGUUAGGCUUUCGGGGGAUACUGCCAGGCUUGGAACCGGGAGAGGUAAGAGGUACUACAGGGGUAGGAGUGAAAUCUUGUAAUCCCUGUGAGACCACCUGUGGCGAAGGCGUCUUACCAGAACGGGUUCGACGGUGAGGGACGAAAGCUGGGGGCACGAACCGGAUUAGAUACCCGGGUAGUCCCAGCCGUAACUAUGCUCGCUAGGUGU
rnacentral:rRNA from 1 species